CCUACGGGGGGCUGCAGUGGGGAAUCUUGCGCAAUGGCCGAAAGGCUGACGCAGCGACGCCGCGUGUGGGAUGACGGUCUUCGGAUUGUAAACCACUGUCGGGUGGGAAGAAGUUCUUGCGGUACCUCCAGAGGAAGCACCGGCUAACUCUGUGCCAGCAGCCGCGGUAAUACAGCGGGUGCGAGCGUUGUCCGGAAUCACUGGGCGUAAAGGGCGCGUAGGCGGCCUGGUAAGUCGGGGGUGAAACGCUGCGGCUCAACCGCAGCACUGCCUUCGAGACUGUCAGGCUGGAGCACGGUAGAGGCUGGUGGAAUUCCCGGUGUAGCGGUGGAAUGCGUAGAGAUCGGGAAGAACACCGGUGGCGAAGGCGGCCAGCUGGGCCGUUGCUGACGCUGAGGCGCGAAAGCGUGGGGAGCAAACAGGAUUAGAUACCCCAGUAGUC
rnacentral:rRNA from 1 species